rnacentral:rRNA from 1 species
AGAGUUUGAUCAUGGCUCAGAACGAACGCUGGCGGCGUGGAUAAGACAUGCAAGUCGAGCGCUGAUUUCACUGUAGCAAUACAGUGGAGUUGGAGCGGCGCAAGGGUGCGUAACACGUGGGUAAUUUGCCGUGAAGUUGGGGAUAACUCGCUGAAAGGCGAGCUAAUACCGAAUGUGAAGUUUGGGUGGCAUCACCUGACCUUUAAAGCUGGGGAUCGUAAGACCUGGCGCUUUAUGAUAAGCCCGCGGCCUAUCAGCUAGUUGGUGAGGUAACGGCUCACCAAGGCUAAGACGGGUAGCUGGUCUGAGAGGACGACCAGCCACACUGGAACUGAGACACGGUCCAGACACCUACGGGUGGCAGCAGUCGAGAAUUUUUCUCAAUGGGCGCAAGCCUGAAGGAGCGACGCCGCGUGGGGGAUGAAGGGUUUCGAUCCGUAAACCCCUGUCAUUUGUGAACAAUGGUUAUUAUUUAAAAGAUGAUGACUUGAUAGUAAUGAAAGAGGAAGGGACGGCUAACUCUGUGCCAGCAGCCGCGGUAAUACAGAGGUCCCGAGCGUUGUUCGGAUUCACUGGGCGUAAAGGGUGCGUAGGUGGCUUGAAAAGUUUGAUGUGAAAGCUCAGGGCUUAACCCUGAAAUGGCAUUGAAUACUGUCGAGCUGGAGGUUUGGAGGGGGGACUGGAAUUCUUGGUGUAGCAGUGAAAUGCGUAGAUAUCAAGAGGAACACCAGUGGCGAAGGCGAGUCCCUGGACAACCCUGACACUGAGGCACGAAAGCUAGGGGAGCAAACAGGAUUAGAUACCCNNGUAGUCC